rnacentral:rRNA from 1 species
GCAGAGNGCACUCCUUCAGUUCGGCUGGACCGGAGACAGGUGCUGCAUGGCUGUCGUCGGCUCGUGUCGUGAGAUGUUGGGUUAAGUCCCGCAACGAGCGCAACCCUCGGCCUUAGUUGCCAUCAUUCAGUUGGGCACUCUAAGGCGACUGCCGGUGAUAAGCCGGAGGAAGGUGGGGAUGACGUCAAGUCCUCAUGGCCCUUACGGGCUGGGCUACGCACGUGCUACAAUGGCGGUGACAGAGGGACGCAAAAGGGCGACCUUUCGCAAAUCUCAAAAAGCCGUCUCAGUUCGGAUUGGGGUCUGCAACUCGACCCCAUGAAGUUGGAAUCGCUAGUAAUCGCAGAUCAGCACGCUGCGGUGAAUACGUUCCCGGGCCUUGUACACACCGCCCGUCACACCAUGGGAGUUGGGUUUACCUUAAGACGGUGCGCCAACCGCAAGGAGGCAGCCGGCCACGGUAGGCUCAGCGACUGGGGUGAAGUCGUAACAAGGUAGCCGUAA